UGCAUCUGAAGCCUGACGAGGAUGAGAACCUCCGGGGGCAAGAGGUUCGACUCGAGCGCAGCGAGAGAACGUUGCUUCAGCAACGGCCCGCAGGGCGAGCCACGCAGUGGCGAGUCAUCCUCUAUCACCGACCA
rnacentral:sRNA from 6 species